rnacentral:lncRNA from 1 species
ACAACAUCAUUAGUUCACGCAACAUCAAGGUGCCAAGAAUUGAUGGUCUUUUGCUAGGUUUGCAGCGUCAAGCAUGGAUCUGCAAAAGAGCAUGGAUAGCGCUCAAUUUCCUUGGCUAUCGAUCUUGCUCUUAUGUCCUGAGUUGCUGAUCUUCUUAAGUUGCUGGAUAUCCUCAUUGCACUGCGCUAUAUCGUUGGUGUUGUUGGAGAGGGCCCUGAGGUCGCUUCUUUUACGAUGUUAUUGACUUUUUCUUCCAUCUGGCGGCCCUUCUACGACGUGAAAUUCUCGCCUCUUCCUAGUUAUUCGUGUGAUCACCUCCAGCGCCGUGUGUUGGUUUGGCUACAAAUUAAAUUAGAUUGUUGGGAUACGGUAUUUGGUUCUAGUUAGGUUGCUCCGAACAAUUGACUGGCCCUGAUUGAUAUGGGAACAUUCUUAUUGUUGAUGGCGUAUAGGCCCUCAAUGAAUUGGUGUUGUCCCUUGUUGGCUUUUCCUUGCAAUAGUCCAACCUCUCUCAUUUUUCUUGGACUUGAAAGUUUGGAGUUGUUCCGGUGCUUGUCACGGCUGGUUCAAGUGGCUGUAGCCACAUCAAGUUGGACUGAAAUUAGAGGUUGUCUGUUUCGGAUUUUGAUAGAUAGGAGCUGCGUUGAUUGCCUAGCAGCAUUUGUUUUCUUGUGGUUGCAGCUAUUAAAAAUUGUUGUUGCCAAAAGAUUUCGCCAUUUAAUUCAUCCUGAU